rnacentral:misc_RNA from 1 species
AGAAAAUGCAUGCUUGAGAUUUGGAACAGAUAAAAUUUAGCCAUAAAAAUUGUAGUAAUGGAAACUGUCAUCCGCUAAAGAUAAGACGCAAGGAAAAAAACACCAGAGUUACCAUUGUUGUUGUUGUCAUCAUAUCUUUUAUAUUAAUUUGUUCGAUAAAACAGUGUCCAAUUAUUAAACAUGAUCCGAAAUUAAAUUCUAGGAUAUGGAAUUAUACAUCUGCAAAGGGUAUAAGGGUUGCAUAGACAGAACAAAUAUUUUUAAUUUCCUUCUCUCAG